GUAGGGGUGCAAGCGUUAUCCGGAAUCAUUGGGCGUUAAAGAGCUCGUAGGGCGGUUCAGCAAGUCGGGCUGUGAAAUCCCGAGGCUUAACCUCGGAACUGCAGUCGAUACUGCUGUGACUAGAGUCCGGUAGAGGAGAAUGGAAUUCCCGGUGUAGCGGUGAAAAUGCGCAGAUAUCGGGAGGAACACCAGUAGCGAAGGCGGUUCUCUGGGCCGGUACUGACGCUGAGGAGCGAAAGCGUGGGUAGCAAACAGGAUUAGAUACCCUGGUAGUCCACGCCGUAAACGUUGGACACUAGGUGUGGCGUUCCGACCAACGGGUGCCGUGCCGAAGCUAACGCAUUAAGUGUCCCGCCUGGGGAGUACGGCCGCAAGGCUA
rnacentral:rRNA from 1 species